GUGCUCACUUCAGUAGCACCUAUACUAAAGGUACAAUAAAACAGAAAGGAUUAGCAUGUCCCCUGGGCAAGGAUAACACAAAUUCAUGAAGCAUUCCAUAAAAUUUU